rnacentral:snoRNA from 1 species
AUCCCAUGAUUAGGACACUUAUGAAGUAACUCCUUGAAUCGCUCCCAAGCCUUAUAGAAAGACUCGUCAUCCCAUUGUUGGAAAGUUGUGAUCUUGUUCCACAACUU